rnacentral:rRNA from 1 species
GACGAACGCUGGCGGCGUGCCUAAUACAUGCAAGUUGAGCGAUGAAGCUUGGUGCUUGCACCAAUUUGGAGAGCAGCGAACGGGUGAGUAACGCGUGGGGAAUCUGCCUUUGAGCGGGGGACAACAUUUGGAAACGAAUGCUAAUACCGCAUAACAACUUUAAACAUAAGUUUUAAGUUUGAAAGAUGCAAUUGCAUCACUCAAAGAUGAUCCCGCGUUGUAUUAGCUAGUUGGUGAGGUAAAGGCUCACCAAGGCGAGGAUACAUAGCCGACCUGAGAGGGGGAUAGCCCACAUUGGAAGGUGAACGGGCCCCAAGCUCCUGAGGAAGGCGCCAGACGGGAAUGGUCGGCAGUGGAGGAAAGUCUGACGGAACAAGCCGACGGGGGUGAGAAAGGUGUCGGAUCGUAAAACUCUGUUGGUAGGGAAGAACGUUGGUGAGAGUGGAAAGCUCAUCAAGUGACGGUAACUACCCAGAAAGGGACGGCUAACUACGUG